GGUGAACGCUGGCGGCGUGCCUAAUACAUGCAAGUCGAGCGAAUGGAUUAAGAGCUUGCUCUUAUGAAGUUAGCGGCGGACGGGUGAGUAACACGUGGGUAACCUGCCCAUAAGACUAGGAUAACUCCGGGAAACCGGGGCUAAUACCGGAUAACAUUUUGAACCGCAUGGUUCGAAAUUGAAAGGCGGCUUCGGCUGUCACUUAUGGAUGGACCCGCGUCGCAUUAGCUAGUUGGUGAGGUAACGGCUCACCAAGGCGACGAUGCGUAGCCGACCUGAGAGGGUGAUCGGCCACACUGGGACUGAGACACGGCCCAGACUCCUACGGGAGGCAGCAGUAGGGAAUCUUCCGCAAUGGACGAAAGUCUGACGGAGCAACGCCGCGUGAGUGAUGAAGGCUUUCGGGUCGUAAAACUCUGUUGUUAGGGAAGAACAAGUGCUAGUUGAAUAAGCUGGCACCUUGACGGUACCUAACCAGAAAGCCACGGCUAACUACGUGCCAGCCGCCGCGGUAA
rnacentral:rRNA from 1 species